rnacentral:rRNA from 1 species
ACGAACGCUGGCGGCGUGCUUAACACAUGCAGGUCGAGCGGAAAGGCCCUUCGGGGUACUCGAGCGGCGAACGGGUGAGUAACACGUGAGUAACCUGCCCCAGACUUUGGGAUAACCCUCGGAAACGGGGGCUAAUACCGGAUACGACACAGCUUCGCAUGGGGUCUGUGUGGAAAGUUUUUCGGUUUGGGAUGGGCUCGCGGCCUAUCAGCUUGUUGGUGGGGUGAUGGCCUACCAAGGCGACGACGGGUAGCCGGCCUGAGAGGGCGACCGGCCACACGGGGACUGAGACACGGCCCAGACUCCUACGGGAGGCAGCAGUGGGGAAUAUUGCACAAUGGGCGGAAGCCUGAUGCAGCGACGCCGCGUGAGGGAUGACGGCCUUCGGGUUGUAAACCUCUUUCAGCAGGGACGAAGCGUAAGUGACGGUACCUGCAGAAGAAGCGCCGGCCAACUACG